AGAGUUUGAUCCUGGCUCAGGAUGAACGCUGACAGAAUGCUUAACACAUGCAAGUCUACUUGAAACACUUUCGGGUGUGGAUGGUGGCGGACGGGUGAGUAACGCGUAAAUAACUUGCCCCCUAGUCUGGGACAACUGUUGGAAACGACAGCUAAUACUAGAUAUUAUGAGACCUUGGCAUCAAGGACUUAUGAAAGCUAUAUGCGCUAGGGGAGAGAUUUGCGUCCUAUUAGCUAGUUGGUGAGGUAAUGGCUCACCAAGGCGACGAUAGGUAGCCGGCCUGAGAGGGUGAACGGCCACAAGGGGACUGAGACACGGCCCUUACUCCUACGGGAGGCAGCAGUGGGGAAUAUUGGACAAUGGACCAAAAGUCUGAUCCAGCAAUUCUGUGUGCUUGAUGAAGGCCUUCGGGUUGUAAAGAGCUUUAAGUAGGGAAGAAGAAAGUGACGGUACCUACAGAAUAAGCGACGGCUAAAUACGUGCCAGCAGCCGCGGUAAUACGUAUGUCGCAAGCGUUAUCCGGAAUUAUUGGGCAUAAAGGGCGUCUAGGCGGUUUAGAAAGUCUGAUGUGAAAAUGCGGGGCUCAACCCCGUAUUGCGUUGGAAACUACUAGACUAGAGUAUUGG
rnacentral:rRNA from 1 species